rnacentral:rRNA from 1 species
UACGGAGGGUGCAAGCAUUAAUCGGAUCUAUUGGGCGUAAAGGGCGCGUAGGCGGGGAAGUAAGUCAGAUGUGAAAUCCCGGGGCUCAACCUCGGAACAGCAUUUGAAACUACAUCUCUAGAGGGUAGGCGGAGAAAACGGAAUUCCACAAGUAGCGGUGAAAUGCGUAGAUAUGUGGAAGAACACCAGUGGCGAAGGCGGUUUUCUAGCUUAUACCUGACGCUAAAGCGCGAAAGCAAGGGGAUCAAACAGG